rnacentral:rRNA from 1 species
UACGUAGGGUGCAAGCGUUAAUCGGAAUUACUGGGCGUAAAGCGUGCGCAGGCGGUUAUGCAAGACAGAUGUGAAAUCCCCGGGCUUAACCUGGGAACUGCAUUUGUGACUGCAUAGCUGGAGUGCGGCAGAGGGGGAUGGAAUUCCGCGUGUAGCAGUGAAAUGCGUAGAUAUGCGGAGGAACACCGAUGGCGAAGGCAAUCCCCUGGGCUUGCACUGACGCUCAUGCACGAAAGCGUGGGGAGCAAACAGG